GAAACUCUAACAAUUUCUAGCGAUUGAUGAACAUCAAGUAAAAGAAACCCACAGCAAUGACACAGCAAUAAAAUGCUCCAGCCAUCAUAUUUGCUUGCUGCUUCAAAUCGAUCAGUUGCUUUAGUUGCUUGCCCAUUUUCUUCAAUUCACACCCGAGUUCAGCUUGCCCAUAACAAUGACCUGAUCUGUCCGCCAAAUGGGGGGCGUGUUCCACAGCAAGCGGUGCCCCAAAAUUGAGCCCUUCGGUUGAUC
rnacentral:lncRNA from 1 species